GGCCUACGGGAGGCAGCAGUGGGGAAUAUUGCACAAUGGGGGAAACCCUGAUGCAGCAACGCCGCGUGAAGGAAGACGGUUUUCGGAUUGUAAACUUCUGUUCUUAGUGAAGUAAAAUGACGGUAGCUAAGGAGCAAGCCACGGCUAACUACGAGCAAGCAGCCGCGGUAAUACGUAGGUGGCAAGCGUUGUCCGGAAUUACUGGGUGUAAAGGGAGCGCAGGCGGGAAGCGAAGGUAGCUGUGGAAACUACGGGCU
rnacentral:rRNA from 1 species